CAGCCGCCGCGGUAAUACGUAGGUGGCAAGCGUUGUCCGGAAUUAUUGGGCGUAAAGCGCGCGCAGGCGGCUUCCCAAGUCCCUCUUAAAAGUGCGGGGCUUAACCCCGUGAUGGGAAGGAAACUGGGAAGCUGGAGUAUCGGAGAGGAAAGUGGAAUUCCUAGUGUAGCGGUGAAAUGCGUAGAGAUUAGGAAGAACACCGGUGGCGAAGGCGGCUUUCUAGACGGCAACUGACACUGAGGCUCGAAAGCCAGGGGAGCGAACGGGAUUAGAUACCCCUGUAGUCCCUGUCUCUUAUACC
rnacentral:rRNA from 1 species